UACGGGGGGGGUAAGCGUUGUUCGGAAUUACUGGGCGUAAAGGGCUCGUAGGCGGCCAACUAAGUCGGACGUGAAAUCCCUCGGCUUAACCGGGGAACUGCGUCCGAUACUGGAUGGCUUGAGUUUGGGAGAGGGAUGCGGAAUUCCAGGUGUAGCGGUGAAAUGCGUAGAUAUCUGGAGGAACACCGGUGGCGAAGGCGGCAUCCUGGACCAACACUGACGCUGAGGAGCGAAAGCCAGGGGAGCAAACGGG
rnacentral:rRNA from 1 species